AAAAUAGUAAGCUAAAAAAGCUAAUAGGUUCAUACCCUAUAUAUGAAUAAUUAUUCCUAUUUUA
rnacentral:tRNA from 1 species